CAGUAGCCGCGGUAAUACAGAGGAUGCAAGCGUUAUCCGGAAUGAUUGGGCGUAAAGCGUCUGUAGGUGGCUUUUCAAGUCCGCCGUCAAAUCCCAGGGCUCAACCCUGGACAGGCGGUGGAAACUACCAAGCUGGAGUACGGUAGGGGCAGAGGGAAUUUCCGGUGGAGCGGUGAAAUGCGUAGAUAUUAGGAAGAACACCAGUGGCGAAGGCGACUUUCUGGACGAAAACUGACGCUGAGGCGCGAAAGCCAGGGGAGCGAACGGGAUUAGAUACCCGCGUAGUCCCUGUCUCUUAUAA
rnacentral:rRNA from 1 species